AGAGUUUGAUCAUGGCUCAGAUUGAACGCUGGCGGCAUGCCUUACACAUGCAAGUCGAACGGCAGCACGGGUGCUUGCACCUGGUGGCGAGUGGCGAACGGGUGAGUAAUACAUCGGAACAUGUCCUGUAGUGGGGGAUAGCCCGGCGAAAGCCGGAUUAAUACCGCAUACGAUCUACGGAUGAAAGCGGGGGACCUUCGGGCCUCGCGCUAUAGGGUUGGCCGAUGGCUGAUUAGCUAGUUGGUGGGGUAAAGGCCUACCAAGGCGACGAUCAGUAGCUGGUCUGAGAGGACGACCAGCCACACUGGGACUGAGACACGGCCCAGACUCCUACGGGAGGCAGCAGUGGGGAAUUUUGGACAAUGGGCGAAAGCCUGAUCCAGCAAUGCCGCGUGUGUGAAGAAGGCCUUCGGGUUGUAAAGCACUUUUGUCCGGAAAGAAAUCCUUGGCUCUAAUACAGUCGGGGGAUGACGGUACCGGAAGAAUAAGCACCGGCUAACUACGUGCCAGCAGCCGCGGUAAUACGUAGGGUGCGAGCGUUAAUCGGAAUUACUGGGCGUAAAGCGUGCGCAGGCGGUUUGCUAAGACCGAUGUGAAAUCCCCGGGCUCAACCUGGGAACUGCAUUGGUGACUGGCAGGCUAGAGUAUGGCAGAGGGGGGUAGAAUUCCACGUGUAGCAGUGAAAUGCGUAGAGAUGUGGAGGAAUACCGAUGGCGAAGGCAGCCCCCUGGGCCAAUACUGACGCUCAUGCACGAAAGCGUGGGGAGCAAACAGGAUUAGAUACCCUGGUAGUCCACGCCCUAAACGAUGUCAACUAGUUGUUGGGGAUUCAUUUCCUUAGUAACGUAGCUAACGCGUGAAGUUGACCGCCUGGGGAGUACGGUCGCAAGAUUAAAACUCAAAGGAAUUGACGGGGACCCGCACAAGCGGUGGAUGAUGUGGAUUAAUUCGAUGCAACGCGAAAAACCUUACCUACCCUUGACAUGGUCGGAAUCCCGCUGAGAGGUGGGAGUGCUCGAAAGAGAACCGGCGCACAGGUGCUGCAUGGCUGUCGUCAGCUCGUGUCGUGAGAUGUUGGGUUAAGUCCCGCAACGAGCGCAACCCUUGUCCUUAGUUGCUACGCAAGAGCACUCUAAGGAGACUGCCGGUGACAAACCGGAGGAAGGUGGGGAUGACGUCAAGUCCUCAUGGCCCUUAUGGGUAGGGCUUCACACGUCAUACAAUGGUCGGAACAGAGGGUUGCCAACCCGCGAGGGGGAGCUAAUCCCAGAAAACCGAUCGUAGUCCGGAUUGCACUCUGCAACUCGAGUGCAUGAAGCUGGAAUCGCUAGUAAUCGCGGAUCAGCAUGCCGCGGUGAAUACGUUCCCAGGGUCUUGUAG
rnacentral:rRNA from 1 species